AGCUUUGCGCAGUGGCAGUAUCAUAGCCAAUGAGGUUAAUCUGAGGUGUGAUUAUUGCUAGUUGAAAACUUUUCCCAAUACCCCGCCAUGACAACUUGAAAUAUAGUUGGCAUUGGCAAUUUUUGAUAGUCUCCUGUGAGA
rnacentral:snRNA from 1 species